UGCCGUGAAUCGCCUCCAUCCACAUGAAGGUUGCACUGAAUCUCUCUCUAUCCACCCUCGCGAGUCCUCUCCGUCGAAUGCUCCUGCAUCUUCGUGUAUCAUUACCGUUUUGGUUCGAGUUUGGAGGUUUCAACUCAGUUUAGAGUUUGGAUUCGAGAAGCUUUUUCACAGGUUUGUUUUGAUUUCAAAUCGAGUUUUGUUUCAGUUCAGAAUUGGUUGCAUUUUGGAAUUCUGGCAUUUUUACGGUUUCGAUUACGUGUUCUAUUACUGGGUUCUAUAAUUCUGGCAUUUUUACGGUUUCGACUCAAUUACGUGUUCUAUUACAGUUUGAUUGUGAUUUGAUUUUGGUGAAGAGUUUGAAUUAAAAUUAACACGAGUAUACAACUUCAUAAACCUAAAUUGGAUGAGCACUUACCGGUUGAAAUGAAGAAAAAUGCGGAUUUCGUUCUCGCUCGCAAGGUGUUCGAUGAAAUGUCCCAACCGGAUUAUUUCUUUCUCGCUCGCUCAUAUUGCGGCACUAGAGGUUGAUCCUCCAGGAUGCUCUUUUAAUCCCACGCAUGAAAGUCAUCAGAGGAGAAGCAGGCCAAGAAGGGAAAAAAAGUAAAAACAGAACAGAAUGUUUGUUAACAAAAACUUUAUGGAUGAUCAAGAGAUUGUUCGAGGGUCGUUGACAAUGAUCCUGCUCUCAAAAACGUUAUGUCUUCUUAGCCAGAUGUUGUUUGCAAUGAAUGAAAACAAGGAGUCUUGUCUACACUUUCUGAAAGGAUGAUGAAUUACUUACUAAUGUCUGUAAUUAUGUAAGCUCGUCUUUUGUUUAUAAAUCUUAGUAUUGUUCUUUAAA